rnacentral:rRNA from 1 species
AAAUUGAAGAGUUUGAUCAUGGCUCAGAUUGAACGCUGGCGGCAGGCCUAACACAUGCAAGUCGAACGGUAACAGGAAGAAGCUUGCUUCUUUGCUGACGAGUGGCGGACGGGUGAGUAAUGUCUGGGAAACUGCCUGAUGGAGGGGGAUAACUACUGGAAACGGUAGCUAAUACCGCAUAACGUCGCAAGACCAAAGAGGGGGACCUUCGGGCCUCUUGCCAUCGGAUGUGCCCAGAUGGGAUUAGCUUGUUGGUGGGGUAACGGCUCACCAAGGCGACGAUCCCUAGCUGGUCUGAGAGGAUGACCAGCCACACUGGAACUGAGACACGGUCCAGACUCCUACGGGAGGCAGCAGUGGGGAAUAUUGCACAAUGGGCG